GCAGGUACCUCAGAUGAGAAGUGCACCCAGGCCAGCACUAGCAGCAGCCCCAUCAUCUGCAGUUGGCUCACCUGCUGCUGUACCCCACAGCCAGGUCUGAUGACCCAAAUGACAACUGCUGCAGCUGGCAUGGCUGUCAGGCUGUCAGGCACAUACUGGGUCAGGCCAUCACUGGGAGCUUCAGAAGAGUAAGUAAUGCUGAGCCCUCAAAGCCUAACAUCUCUAAGUAGGGCCCUCAGAAACCCAGCUGGCACAGCAGCAGCAACAGCAGCAGCAGUUUCGCCCUUGCUUCUAUGAGAUAAACAGUUUUUAGAGUGUGCGCAGAACCAGGGUGACAUAAAGCUCUGUGAGGGUUUCACUAAGGUGUUGAAACAGUGCAGACUUGCAGGUGAAUUAGCCU
rnacentral:lncRNA from 1 species